rnacentral:lncRNA from 1 species
CAUGAUUAGUUAGAAAAAUAGAAAACUUUUAUGUCUUUUUACUUUUGCUUGUUUAGAAAAAUUAAAAAUAGAGAAUUUUAGGUUAUUUGUUACUUUAAUUUCUGUAUAAAAAAUUAGAAACUUAUAAUACUUUACGUUGCAAUGCAGACAAUGACACGUCAUUGGAUGUACAAUGCCAAUGGCCGCUCCAAAGAAUUUAUUGAUAGUGUGCAUUAUUUCUUAAGAGUGGACGAGGAAAACAAGCGGGAUGGAUUCAUAUGUUGCUCAUGUGCCUUGUGUCAAAAAGAAAAAACUCUUUAGUCCUAGUUGGUAACACCAACCGGGACUAAAAGUGGUGGCCAGGUGGCACACCCUGGCGCACCUUUUAGUCUCGGUUGCUGUUACCAAUCAGGACUCGGGCCGCGAAACCGGGACUAAAGGUGGGACAUUUAGUUCCGAAACCUUAGCCUCGGUUCUGUAAUCGGGACUAAAGGUCCUUACAGUCCGGGGCUAAAGCUCUUCCCUGCACUAGUGCAUAUAUCAUUAGCCACACCACACUUCAAAUGGUUUAGAUUUUUCUUUGAGACGUUUGUUUUCUUUAGACGACUGGGUUCAAAUACACCUAAUCCAUGUGAGAGUCCAAAUAUUAUUUGCCUGUUUCAUCAAGGUAUGUCACACGGUAUCCCAAGAUCGAUAUAUAUACAUCAUGGUUGUGAGCAUUAUAUUGGAGUGCCAGUGGAAAUUUCACAAUGGUCGGACCGGCUAUAGGGAUGUUGAUCUAGCAUUUGCAGGCGUCACGCCUUUUGUCCCGGUCGAAAACCACUUGUAGUCCCGGAUGACGAGCCGGGACUAAGGGAUCGGGACUAAAAGUCCCACCUUUAGUCCCGGCUCUCCGGCCCGGGACUAAAUGGGACAUUUAGUCCCGGUUGGUAAUACCAACCGGGACUACAGGGGGCGCCAGGCAGUGACGUGGCGCCAACCCUGGCCACCCCUUUUAGUCUCGGUUGGUAUUACCAACCGGGACUAAAGGUUUUUUUAUUUUUGUUUUUGUUUUUCUUUUUCCUUUUCAUUUCUUUAUUGAUUUUGGUUUUCAAUUGUAUAUGUUCUCUAAUUUAAUCGUAUGCGCCGCAAUUAUCCGUAUACAUUGCACCUAUAUAAGAGCGUCAUUAUUGCACACAAAUAAAGUAUGAAACUACAUAUAUAUUAUCCGUAUAAUAUAUAUAUCUAUAUAUAUUAUAUAGCUAUACACAUACGUACAUACACAUUACAUUUACAAUAAUAAUAUUAUGUACAAGUAAUAAUCAAGUGUGCUGCCACCGGUUAAUGAUUACAUAAUGUUUGCUCGCCCACUCAAAGCUCAUACAAGUGUUCGUCCUUGUUUGGAAUGGGCUUGAAGCCCUACGGGUAUAAGUGGAACUCGCCGUCUUCCGGAAUGACAUGAUCGUUGAUAAAUCCGGCGAUCGUCUCCUGGACUCCAAGGAGUAAUAUGUACUCGAACACUUUAUCUUUCAUAUUCCACUCCUUCCAUUUGCAUUAGUUAAAAAAGAUAUUAAUAUACAUAAAAUCUAUUUAGUUCCAACAAAUAAAUAAGAUAUAAAUUUACUGUAUACACAUGCAUGUUACUUACUUUUAGAACACUUUGAGCAGGUUUAAAUAGGGUGCACCGCAUAAAUUCACAAACAUAGUAUCCACAUAGAUUCGUUCCAAACGGCUGCGUCGGCACCCAAGGGAGUAGAACAGGAGGAGGAAGUGACACAUUCAGAUCCGUACCAUAUUUUUGUCGUAGCCAAGCCCAAGCCCUGCCCAAUAAGACGCUCGUUGAUUAGGUAUAGCUAGCAUAAUAAAGUAAAGGAGCACGCAUCGAUAUUUAAAGUAUGAUAUAUACUUACCUCUGGAUCAUGUCUAUUAUGUCUUGAUAGAGUGCCGGGUCUUUUUUCAUUGAGUCCCACACAUGUAUUUUUUGUUCCGUGAUCUUAAUCUCAAUGAGUAUCCAAUGAUCUCUGCAUUUGUUUAGAGUCAACUUAUAUAUGUAUAUCUUAAUGCCGGAUUAACUAAGACAUGAUAUAACGGGAAGAGUAUCUUCUCCGUAUGCCUUUGGUUAUAAAAGAACCUUCGGAGGUUCUUCUCCAUUUCCUUAGGCUUCAGAUUCAAUGGAUCUUUAGUUUUAGUGUCCUUGUACACGACAUAUGGAUCGAUGAAACCAAUUCGAUUGCCUUUUUUCAAUCUUUGUUCUCUCAUCAUGUGUCUGCACAUCGUGAGCGUAGUUAUUACGAAUACAUACAUAUGCUAUAAUGGGAUUAAUGAUUGAAAGGAAGAAUCACUUACAGACAGUAGCAGCUCAUGAGAGAUUUGUCGAGAGCAUUCAUAUGGAGAAGUUGGUGUACUUCACUAAAAUCUAUCCAUAUGACGUCAUCUCCGCGGAUGUAGUGUCGGUCGCGGACUCGGACGACAAUCAAUUCUUCUUCUAUAUGUUUUG